CAUGCGCAACGUCAACUCCGCCCUUGCCGCGGCCGGCAUCGGCGGCAUCAAGGUUUCCACCGCGGUGAAAUCCGACGUGAUCGCCAACUCUUACCCUCCCUCCGCCGGCGUGUUCGCGUAUCCCUACAUGAAUGGCAUAGCUCAGUACCUGGCGAGCACUGGCGCGCCGCUGCUGGCCAACGUCUACCCCUACUUCGCCUACGCCGGCAACCCGCGCGAGAUCAGCCUCAACUACGCCACGUUCCAGCCGGGCACGACGGUGAGGGACGACGGCAACGGGCUCACCUACACCAACCUGUUCGACGCCAUGGUGGACUGCAUCUACGCCGCGCUGGAGAAGGCCGACGCCGGGAACGUGAGGGUGGUGGUGUCGGAGAGCGGGUGGCCGUCGGCGGAAGGGAUCGGGGCGAGCAUGGACAACGCGAGGGCGUACAACCAGGGGCUGAUCGACCAUGUCGGGCGUGGCACGCCCAAGAGGCCCGGACAGAUGGAGGCGUACAUAUUUGCCAUGUUCAACGAGAACCAGAAGACAGGGGCUGCCACCGAGAGGCAUUUUGGCCUCUUCUACCCUAACAAGUCGCCGGUCUAUCAGAUUGCCUUUUCGAAUUAGCAGCUGCCAAUAUAAAUGAGUUACAGCCUUACAGGUGAUCGAUCGAGUAAUGCUUCAUUAAAUGUUGGGCGUAUUUUAAUGUUCUCAGUAUGUUACUUUAUGUUUUAUAAUAAAAGCUACAUGAAUAUAAACUUUUCAAGGUUUCUUAUCGAUUGACAACAAUUAAAUUGGUACACAGUUAUUUUCUGAGGCCACAAUACCACGCAAAGAGAACGAAUACCGCAUCAUCAUACUUACUAUCUUUGGCUGUGUAAUAGUAUGAGGGACAUCAGACAUGUCACAAAUAACUUGUCCUGCCUCUUAGCAUGUACUUUCUUUCAGAAGUUAUAGAGAUUUGCUGUAGCGCCCGUUCCGUCGUGGCGCCUAGCGGAAAAAUUAUCUCUUAAAAACCCUAAUUGCGAAAUUUGUUUCUUUGCUUGUUGUCUAGUGUCCGUGCCAUCUCAAGAUCUCAAUCCCUGAUCUAUCGUCGAGUUCAAUUCCGAAUCCAAAUCCUUCCAAUCAAAUUCCUCCGCAAAAGUCUAUUUUGCCUCCCCCGAGGUUGAUGGGCCGAAUCUCGCUCGGCCCAUCUUCCCCUCUUCCCCGGCCCCCUCUCUCCCCGGGCGCUCUCUCUCUCUCUCUCUCUCUCCCCGGGCGCUCUCUCUCUCUCUCUCUCGCGCUCUCCCAUCUCUCCCCCCGCUCGGCCUCGCCCGUACGCUGCUCGCGCGUGCGAGAGCCGCCCCGAGCGCCUCUCUCCCCGCUCCCCCGCUCAGCCUCGCCCGCCCGCCGCGCGCGCGUGCGCGUAAGCCGCCGCGCCGAGCGCCCCCUCCCUUCCCCUCGCUCUGCCGCGCCUGCAGCCGCGCAGCCGCUCGUCCUCGCGAGCCAGCGUGUGCGCGCCCGCGCGGACGCCGCCCGUUGCUUCCCGCGCGCGCGUGCCGUGGUGGCCGACCGCCCGGUCGCCGCCGCCGUCAGCCUCUGCACGCGCCUGUCGCCAGUGUCGCCGCUCCGCUCCAAACCGCCCCGCCGUCAUUGCCGUCGUCAUCGCCCGGCCCCCGCCCCUCCGCGCGCAAGCCGCCAAGGGACGGAGCCGCGCCCCUCCUCCCUCUGCCGCGAUGCUCCCGUUCCCCUCCCCCUCUUUUUCCCGAAUCGGCAAAGGGGCAAGCCCCUUUCUCCCCCUCCUUUUCCCCUUUUUCCUCCUCGCCGGCGUCAUCCUCUUGCCGCCGCUUUGGCUGCAAGCGCCGAGCGCCAGCUCGCGCCUUAACCGUCCAAUGUCGGUUCCCCUCUCCCAAACCGACAUUGCCGUCCAUUUAAGCCCAAGCCCUCCCCCUCCAAACUCCCUCAUUUUCGCCUCCGCGCCAUUGCUGCCCUCUGUUUCGCCGUCGCCGAUCGUCGUUGCGCGUGUCGGAGGAGCCGGCACGAGCAAGGACGCGGAAGAGGACUCCGGCCGCGCCCUCUUCUUCCUCUUCCCCGGCCCGAGGCCGGAGAGAUUACUCCCGCGCCGCCGGCCUCUCGUCACAGCGCCCCUCCUCUUCUCGGUGAUGUCUCUCUCCGUUCUUCCUCCUCGCUCCAUCUCCUCCCCCUAGCUUUCGGUAGUAGCUUGAGUAGCCUCCCCGUAGUUAGCCGGCGCCGCCCCGACCGUUGCCGUCGCUCGCCGUGUGUUCGCCGCCGUCACCGCUCGAGCUCCGUAGCACCCGCUCGUCGCCGGCCUCGCUCGGCGUAGUUCCGUCCAAUCCGACGCUAGCGUCGAGUUCCCGACGCCGCGUAGAUGCUCUCACCGCCGGGAAUCGACCUCUCGUGACCUCGUCGCCGUUUCCCUCUUCUCCCGCCGCCGGUUGCCGCCGCCGCAAUCCGCCGCCGUCGAGCAACCUCCGGCGAAUCCGAGCCGUUGGCUCGUCUCCCCUUGUCACGUGCAACCGCCCGGUGUGCACGCUUUUGCCCGUAUCACCGUGGUUCGCUCCGCCGCUCGCCGCCGUCGCCCGCCGUCCAUUCGCGGCCGGGUCGUCGUCUACCUCCCGCCGGCCCGCGUGGCAGCCACGUAGGCGCCACGUCGGCGCCAGCUCAGCCUAGACCGGAUCGAGCCGACCCCGGUCAGUCCCUCCCCGUGCGCGCGUUCCACCGCGAGCCGUGAGGCUGCGCGUGGGCCCGCCGCACCUGCGUCCACCGCGGACCGCGCGCAUGCACCGCGUCCCUUCCCCGCCCGCGCGCGUGCGUCGCGUGCUCCCUCCGCACGGUGAGCCGAGCCGCUGACAAGCGGGUCCCACCCGGGACCGCGCGUGGUGAGCCCGGUCCACCGGCCCUCUCUCUCCUCCCUCCCGCGCGCGCGCGAGUUUGGGCCGCCUUGGGCCGGCCGGCCCAUUUAGCUCGGCCAGACCGCUCCAUUUCUCUUGGGCCGCGCCCUAGCCGUCCUAGAAAAGUCUAUAUUCCCUCCCUCCCUUCUUUUCUUUUUCUUUUCCCAAAAGGAUUUAAAUAAAUCCUUUUUCCUUUAGACCAAAAAUCCAAUAAUCUUAGAAAUUCAAUAUCUUCCCAACCGUAAUUCCGUUUGACUCCGUUCAACUUCUAAAAUUUCUCAAAUCUCGAGAUCUAUCUAGUGGCACGCUUAGAGGUCUUUAAUAGGGCUUUAUUUUUGCCGUUUGUUGAGUUGUCCCGUUUCGCGUGUAGUUUCGGAGCCCGAAGACCCGCAGUGCGAGGAUUUCGAGGAUCAAGCUCCAGAUCUCGAGCAAGGCAAGCCACCUUUGAACAUCUUGAGCCUAUAUUUGAAAUUUAAUUAUAUUGCUUGCGAAAUAUUAUGCAUUGAUAGGAUCACACUUAAUCUGUUGUCCCGUCUGCAAGGCAGAUUGGCAGACCUACCUAAUUUGUUGCAUUUGAUCCUUCCUUUGUUAAUUGUUAUACCAUGUCCCCUUGUAACCACCCAGUUGCACCUCGAUAUUCGUGCACUCUGUGCGAGUAUCGACGGUCGCCUUCAAACUUAAAAUCUGAGAAACAACUUGGGUAAAACUGGAGUUUUACAAAAGACUUGGAAAACCCGACACCUGGGUCGGUGCUUGCGAACUAAAUGAAUUUCCAAAACCGCGGACCGGGGAACGUACCGGGUGUACGGUUUCCCGCUCUCGCACUUAAGGACCGAUUCCUUGGAAUUUCAUCCAAACAUAAGACAAGUACGACCACAUGGGUGGAAUGGGACACCCCUGGCUGAGUAACUAGCUUAUCAGGGGAGCCUUGAUGCCGAGAGACAUGUGGAUUCGCCGGGGUGGUGUCGGGGAGGACCCCUGGGCUUCCUGGCACAGUAUGGUCUGGGACCUAACCUGUUGUUGGUCUGGGACCCCUCUCGUCGGCAUUUGGUAAACCUGUAUCGGCUUUCGAAAUGCCUUGUCAUGAAAGCUUGGAGGUCUCCCGACGUGGCUGAUCCCCACGGGCUGGGUGAUCCGGGUUAGUAAUGUCGUGUGGGUAAAGUGUACCCCCUCUGCAGAGGUUAACAAACUGCUCGAACAGCCGUGCCCACGGUCAUGGGCGUAUGUGAGGUGAUUCCUAGCGUAGUUUUGUUUGACUACUGCUUGUGAAAUUGCUGUUGUGAAAAGGGGUUCGAUGUUUGAAAAAUCUGCAGCUGAUGGGAUCAGCUAGGCCCGGGUGGCCGUUUGAAAAGUUGUUGGCCCGGGUGGCCGUUUGAAAAGCUGUUGGCCGGGUGCCAACCUUGUUGCAAUCCUAAAGACUGACACAUUGCACAUACUCCGACCGGACGAGACGCACUGUCUCAUCCGUGUCGUUUGGGAAGCACUCACUUAGACUUUUUAGAAAAGAGUUCAAACAAAAUCAAUUACGAAAACAACAGCCUUUCCUUGAAGCCUGCAUUAAACACUUAUUUCCCGUGGCUUGCUGAGUACUCCCGUACUCACCCUUGCUCUAUAUAAAUAAUCCCCCCCAGUUGCUGAAGAAGAUGAAGUGGAUCCUGCUGACGAGGAGUUCUUCCAGGAGCAAGUCGGCUACGAUGAGUUUUAGGGUUUCGGCCUAGUUCCCAAGUCGCGCCUGUGAUGAUUGGUCCAAGUCCUGGCUUCCGCUUUCCUUUUGUAAUGCAGUUGUGAGUUCAGGAUCUGUCCGCAGCCCAACAUGACUGUACUUCUACUCUAUAAUAAAGAGACCUCUGUUGCUGUGAUACUCUGUCUCCCUGUGAUACCAGCACUGUUUCCUGGGACUGGUAUCGAUUAACAGGUUAAUUUGGAGCGUGACGGGCUAGUUCCGGUCGGGACUAGUUCGGGGCGUGACACUGGUGGUAUUGCAUGGGUUGACAUCCUGGCCUAGGGCUUAAUAGGAUUAAUAGAAUACUCAUAUCAACAAGUUGCAACUUCUUUUCCGGAAGCCAAUCUCCAAAUAACUCCAGAGUUAAGCGUGCUUGGCCUGGAGCAAUUUGGGAUGGGUGAGAUAUGUGUUGGUCUGUGAGGGCAGUCUAUGACCUAUGAAAGCUAUCAGAUGUAAGCGGGCCUGGCCUGGGGGAAGGCGGGACGUUACAAAUUGGUAUCAGAGCCGACUCUCGCGGUUUCACGGGCGCGUGUGUUGCAGUUGCGCAGGCAUGGUGCGCAUGGCUGGUGUAGACCGGGAGUGGUUACACAGCAUGGCACAUGUGCUGGCACUGGACACAUGGACGUGGCCAAGAGAGGACGUUCCUGGCCUAGGGUUGAUCGACGGGGGCGUCGAUCUCUCUUAAGGGGGUGAGGGUGUAACAUCCUGGCCUAGGGCUUAAUAGGAUUAAUAGAAUACUCAUAUCAACAAGUUGGAACUUCUUUUCCGGAAGCCAAUCUCCAAAUAACUGGCCUGGAGCAAUUUGGGAUGGGUGACCGAUCGGGAAAUUCUUCCCGGGUGCACACGAGUGAGGACAAAGUGUGCAGAAAAGAUAUGUGACCGAUCGGGAAAUUCUUCCCGGGUGCACACGAGUGAGGACUGCAUGAAAAAGAUAAGAGUGAAUUACGCUUUGGGCCACAUUUUAUUACCUAAGUUUCACUUUGGACCACCCUUAAACAUAUAUUUUCACUUUGGACCGGAUAAAUUUGCCAUUGUUGCAAUUUGGACCACCACGAACGAUUUUUUUCAGUACAAUUAACGAUCUUAAACACAUCAGCUUUAGUAUACGGCCAAACUCCUAUAUGUAUGGUUCAUAUGUUUGUUGAAAGGGAAGUUAGUCAUGACGAGAAAAAUUGUUUACGGUAGUCCAAACUGCAACAAUGGUAAAUUUAUCCGGUCCAAAUUAAAAAAAUAGGUUUAAGGGUGGUCCAAAUUGAAACUUGGGUAAUAAAAGGUGGACCAAAGUGUAAUUUACUCAAAAGAUAACUAUAGGCAAGCAUGUGAAAACACACUGUUCUCUUUGAUCCACAAUCAAUAUGCAUUCAUAUAAAUAACGAAAUCUCGUAGUCAUAAGCAUGUUGCAAACAUUGACAAUACCGUUUGAUAUUCUCUUCUUGGUUUGGUCACGUAACUGAAAAAAGGUUUGCUCUUGACAGUUAUGGAUUUCAAAUGCAAUAUGGAUUGAUUGGUUGGUUGGUAGGUGCAACUCUGGGAUAUGCCUCGGAGAUCUAAGCUUUUUAGGUACAAAAAAUUCAGAACUUUGAUAAUUCCCUGUUGUGUGAUUCCUUAUUUAUUUUCUUGUAACAUUGAUAAUUGUGCAUGUGCCAAUAUCUUUAGUUUUUUCAAACGUGAAAGAAAGUAUGGUCUGUUUAUUUACUGUCAGGAAAAAAAACAAUUAUUUGUGAAGUAGAAAGUUAAUUUGGACUUUUUCUGCAGUUGAAGAUAGCAUGCAUAUAACGUUAAGGAUUAAUUUGAUUCUAAUUUAUUUAUCAGGAAGUUUCUUGGACCUUAGUUAGUAACUCUCAUUAUAUACAUAUUUGUGUUAUUACAUCUAUGCCCUACGGGCUGCAGCUAUUAUUGGAGGCUGGUGCAUUUUCCUAACUGCCAUUUACAUUGUCAAAACUUUCUUUUGUGCAAACUCUCUCUUUUCAACAUCGUCAACAGGAAGAGCCAGGAGGAUAAUUUUUUCGAGGCAGCGACAUAAAUCAGUUCGUUCUUUGGUCACCUGGUACCGAUGGUUCAUUUUAAACACUCCAUGACGCAACCUGUCUCCUGUUAUGCGAAAAAUGGAAUCACAAUCAGACUACAGUGCAGCAUGCCCCUCCUGAUGAUUUUUAUAUUCGAUGAUAGGCGAGACAUAUUUUUUUCUGCAUUUUUAAUUGCAAGUUGCUACCACAUGUUUGUUUUAUAUAAUUUCUUUAUCACAGAUAAAAAAAGUUUUAUGUGGCCAAUUACGAGAAUGCUAAUUGAGCGCCUUUGGUGACAAUAUUACUACAUUGAAUGCACACCAACGAAUUGUAAAUCAGAUCUGAAGCACUUUUUGCCAUUUUGGAUCUAAACACUAGUAGCAAAACUUGACAAUUUGGCAUUUAGCAUUUGCUAGUCCAUAGUAGUAAAUUGUGCCAAAAAGUGCUUUGGGACCACUCACUCUCUCUUUCUCUCUCUCACUUUAGUGCUAGAAUAGCAAAAGUUUAGGAUGCAUCUAAACACCAACUAGUACUUUUACAAUAUCAAAACUUUUGCCACCAAAACUUUUGCUAUUUGCCAUUCCAAAUAGAUCUAAACAGGCCCUGAACUCCUUUUUACCUUUUUAUUUCACUUCAACGUUAAUACUAUCCUCAAUAUUUCCUACUUUGAUUGGUAACAAGGGUUGCUUGAUUCAAAUAUUAGCUCUUUGAUUAUAUAGUGGCUUUGUAUAAAAAGCAUGAUUUCACCUUAAUGUAGGACCAUUCUUCCAUUCGACUGUUGACUAUAUUGACUAUGUUUCCCUUGCAGCAGAGGAUGGGAAGCACCAUCACCGGUCAUGGUCUUGACUUUGGAGAGGCAAGGAAAAAGAGCUGAUGAGAUGGGUCAUGGAUGGUGGCAGUGGCGGGAAACUAUUUUAAUUCCUCGAGGGGAUAUCCUCUCGUUAUUUGCAUGUCACUCAAAUGGUUAUGAAAAAAAUUGAGAAGGUGUAUUAACAUGUGAUAUGUCACGCCCCGAGCUAGUCCCGACUGGAAUUAGCCCGUGACGCUCCAAAUUAACCUGUUAAUCGAUACCAGUCCCAGGAAACAGUGCUGGUAUCACAGGAAGAUAGAAUAUCACAGCAACAGAGGUCUCUUUAUUAUAGAGUAGGAGUACAGUCAUGUUGGGCUGCGGACAGAUCCCGAGCUCACAACUGCAUUACAAAAGGGAAACGGAAGCCGAGACUUGGACCAAACAACACAGGCGCGACUUGGGAACUAGGCCGAAACCCUAAAACUCAUCGUAACCGGCUUGCUCCUGGAAGAACUCCUCAUCAGCAGGAUCCGCUUCAUCUUCAUCAGCAACUGGGGGGAAUAUUUAUAUAGAGCAAGGGUGAGUACGGGAGUACUCAGCAAGCCAGGGGAAAUAAGUGUUUAAUGCAGGUUUCAAGGAAAGGCUGUUGUUUUCGUAAUUGAUUUUAUUUGAACUCUUUUCUAAAAACAUCUAGGUGAGUGCUUCUCAAACGACACGGUUGAGACAGUGCGUCCCGUCCGGUCGGAGUAUGUGCAAUGUAUCAAUCUUUAGAUCUUAAAACAAGGUUGGCACCCGGCCAACAGCUUUUCAAACGGCCACCCGGGCCAACAACUUUUCAAACGGCCACCCGGGCCUAGCUGAUCCCGUCAGCUGCUGAUUUUUCAAACAUCGAACCCCUUUUCACAACAGUAAUUUCACAAGCAGUUGUCAAACAAAACUACGCUAGGAAUCACCUCACAUCCGCCCAUGACCGUGGGCACGACUGUUCGAACAGUUUGUUAACCUCUGCAGAGGGGGUACACUUUACCCACACGACAUUACUAACCCGGAUCACCCAGCCCGUGGGGAUCAGCCACGUCGGGAGACCUCCAAGCUUUCAUGACAAGGCAUUUCCAAAGCCGACACAGGCUUACCUUAUGCCGACGAGAGGGGUCCCAGACCAACAACAGGUUAGGUCCCAGACCAUACUGUGCCAGGAAGCCCAGGGGGGUCCUCUCCGACACCACCCCGGCGAAUCCACAUGUCUCUCGGCAUCAUGGCUCCCCUGAUAAGCUAGUUACUCAGCCAGGGGUGUCCCAUUCCACCCAUGUGGUCGUACUUGUCUUUUGUUCGGAUGAAAUUCCAAGGAAUCGGUCCUUAAGUGCGGGAGCGGGAAAACCGUACACCCGGUACGUUCCCCGGUCCGCGGUUUUAGAAAUUCAUUUAGUUCACAAGCACCGACCCAGGUGUCGGGUUUUCCAAGUCUUUUGUAAAACCCAAGUUUUACCCAAGUUGUUUUUCAGAUUUUAAGUUUGAAGGCGACUGUCGAUACUCGCACAGAGUGCACGAAUAUCGAGGCGCAACUGGGUGGUUACAAGGGGACAUGGUAUAACAAUUAACAAAGGAAGGAUCAAAUGCAACAAAUUAGGCAGGUCCGCCAAUCUGCCUUGCAGACGGGACAACAGAUUAAGUGCGAUCCUAUCAAUGCAUAAUAUUUUGCAAGCAAUAUAAUUAAAUUUCAAAUAUAGGCUCAAGAUGUUCAAAGGUGGCUUGCCUUGCUCGAGAUCUGGAGCUUGAUCCUCGAAAUCCUCGCACUGCGGGUCUUCGGGCUCCGAAACUACACGCGAAAUGGGACAACUCAACAAACGGCGAAAAUAAAGCCUUAUUAAUGACCUCUAAGCAUGCCAUUAGGUAGAUCUCGAGAUUUGGGGAAUUUUGGAAGUUGAACGGAGUCAAACGGAUUUACGGCGGGGAAGAUAUUGAAUUUCUAAGAUUAUUGGAUUUUUGGUCUAAAGGAAAAGGAUUUAAUUAAAUCCUUUUUGGAAAAGAUAAAGAAAAGAAAAGAGGGAGGGAUUAUAGACUUUUCUCGGGCGGCUAGGGCGCGGCCCGAGAGAAAGAGCGGCUCGGCCGAGCUUAACGGGUCGGCCGGCCCAAGAAGGCGGCCCAGAGCGGCCCAAGACGCGCGCGCGCGGAGGAAGGAGAGAGAGUCCGGUGGACCGGGCUCACCACGCGCGGUCCCGGGUGGGACCCACUUGUCAGCGGCUCGGCUCACCGUGCGGAGGGAGCACGCGGCGCGGCGCUAGGGUGGAGGAUGGACGUGGUGCACGCACGCGGUUCGCGGAGGACGCAGGUGCGGCGGGCCCACGCGCAGCCCCACGGCUCGCGGUGGAACGCGCGCACGGGGAGGGACUGACCGAGGUCGGCCCGUCCCGACCUCGGCUGAGCUGGCGCCGACGUGGCGCCUACGUGGCUGCCACGUGGGCUGGCGGGAGGUAGACGACGACCCGGCCGCGAAUGGACGGCGGGCGGCGGCGGCGAGCGGCGGAGCGAACCACGGCGAUACGGGCAAAAGCGAGCACACCGGGCGGUUGUUCGUGAUGAGGGGAGACGAGCCAACGGCUCGGAUUCGCCGGAGAGAGCUUGACGGCGGCGAAUCGCGGCGGCGACAACCGGCGGGGAGGGAAGAGGGAAACGGCGACGAGACCACGAGGGGUCGAUUCCCGGCGGUGAGAGUAUCUACGCGGUUUCGGGAACUCGAUGCUAGCGUCGGAUUGGACGGAGCUACGCCGAGCGAGGCUGGCGACGUGCGGGUGCUACGGAGCUCGAGCGGCGACGGCGGCGAGCACACGGCGAGCGACGGCAACGGCUGGGGCGGCGCCGGCUAGCUACGGGGAGUCUACUCGUGCUACCACCGAAAACUAAGGGGGGGGAGAUGGAGCGAGGAGGAAGAACGGAGGGAGACACUACCGUGCGGGACGGGGCGCUGUGACGAGAGGCCGACGGCGCGGGAGUAAUCUCUCCGGCCUCGGGCUGGGGAAGAGGAAGAAGAGGGCGCGGCCGAAGUCCCCUUCCGCGUCCUCGAACGCACCGGUCCUCCUGGCGCUCGGCGAAGGACGGCGGAGGCGAGACAGAGCACGGGGGCGGCGGUAAUGGCACGGAGGCGAAUGGAAGAGGAAGGGAAAGGGGAGGCUGGGGUUUAAAUGGGCGGCAAUGUCGGUUUGGGAACCGACUUGCGCGGUCAAGGGCGCGAGCUGGCGUUCGGCGGUCACGGCCAAAGCGGCGACAGGGAGGAUGACGCCGGCGAGGAGAAAAAAGGGGAAAAGGAGGGGGAGAAAGGGGGCUUGCCCAUUUGCCGAUUCGGGAAAAAGGAGGAGGUGAGCGGGGGCGACGCGGCAGAGGGAGGAGGGAUGCUGCCUCCAUCCCUUGGCGGCUUGCGCGCGGAGUGGCGGGGCCGGGCGAUGACGACGGCGAUGACGGCGGGGCGGUUUGGAGCGGAGCGGCGACACUGGCGACAGGCGCGUGCAGAGGCUGACGGCGGCGGCGACCGGGCGGUCGGCCACCACGGCACGCGCGCGCGGCUCGCAACGGGAGGCGCGGCGGAUGGAGUGGCGCGGCUCGGGCACGCGCGCUGGCUCGCGGGGCCAAGCGGCUGCGCGGCUGCAGGCGGCAGGGCAGCGGGACCGGGCGGCGCAGACGCGACGCGACACGGGCGGCAACCAAGCGGGUGCGCGCGCGAACGAGCGCGGGGAGCGGCAGCGAGGGAGCGGAGAGGGAAGACUCGGCUCGGCGCCGGCGACUCACGCGCACGCGCGCGGGCAGAGCGGAGAGAGAGAGGGAGAGAGGGAGCGGGAGCGCGCCGGGGGAGAGAGCGAGAGAGAGAGAGGGCGCCGGGGAGAGAGGGGAAAGGGCCGGGGGAGAGGGGAAGAUGGGCCGAGAGAAAAUUGGCCCAUCGACCCCGGGGGAGGCAAAAUGGACUUUUGCGGAGGAAUUUGAUUUGGAAGGAUUUGGAUUCGGAAUUGAACUCGACGAUAGAUCGGGGAUUGAGAUCUUGAGAUGGCACGGACACUAGACAACAAGCAAAGAAACAGAUUUCGCAAUUAGGGUUUUUAGGAGAUAAUUUUCCCGCUAGGCGCCACGACGGAACGGGCGCUACAUGAUAUAACACUACACAAUCAUGCAGGUUCAAAUUCAACUUCUUCGGCUGUGUUUAGAUCCAAAGUUUGGAUCCAAACUUCAGUCCUUUUCUAUCACAUCAACCUGUCAUACACACACAACUUUUCAAUCACAUCAUCUCCAAUUUCAACCAAAAUCCAAACUUUGCGCUGAACUAAACACAGCCUACAUCUCGUAACAAAAAAACAAAUUAAACCGCAGCUAGUUAACGUAUAUUCAGAGUCAAAUUUAUUUUUUUUGUUGUAAGAUGUAGGAGUUGAAUUUUUACUUGCAUGUUUAUGGAGUGGUAUAUCACAUGUUAAUACAUUUUCUUAAUUUUUUUUAAUUUUCUUCAUAGCCAUUUAAAUAACAUGCAAACAACGAGUGGAUAUCCCCUCGAGGGAUCAAAAUCCACUUCCGGUAGUGGCCACAAGAAGGGAAAGGAGAAUGUCACAAUAGCUAGAGAUUGGGCCCUUCUGGUUGACGAAUCUGAUGUCAUUGCAAUUGAUUAAGUUUGCUACCCAUAUGUUUCUCCUUCUAAAAUAUAGAAGAUUUAUUCAUGUAGUCAACUAAACUCUAAACUUUUCCUUUCAAUUUCAGCAUGAACACACUUAUCAAUCAUUGGUGUUCUGAUUCUGCACUUUGCAGGGACAUGGACUUUCUUUCAAGGGAAAGAGAAAGCAGAAUUUGCCAUCUUGUGAUUAAAAUGGUUCCAUCGACCAAAUGGAUUCUCAACUGAACUCAUGAAAGUAUACGAAGGUGAAACCCUAAAAGAAUAACGAUUCUCCGCUUCGCUCCAGCCCAAGCCUCCGGCGAUGGUUAUUAUGUGCAAAUGAAUUUGAAUCACAACUCAAAAAAAAAAACACCCUUUUGUAUGCAACAUCACCAUUUGCUAGCUAUUCAAGUCUGUUUGGCGACAACUCCACUGAUACCUUUGGACUGGUGAUGCACUGAAUGCUGUUGUUGCAGACAUGGAAUAAAUUUAUUGUGGUUUAGGUGUUUGCAAAAUUUUAUGGUUUAAGCCAUUUUUAGAGUAAGUUUGUCUCAAAUGCCUGGAGGUCACUGAGUUUGUGGACAAAUCGUGAGAAUCUACAGCAAGGACAAUUGAGUGAUUUUUGUCAACUCGUGAUUUAUUUGCAUGUUACCGAAAAAAACUCACCGGUUUUAAUACUCACAUGUUUUCCAAGUGUGAAUUAACAUGACGAGUUAAUCCUGCAUCUAUAUUUUAAAGAGUUUGGCUUUCAAGUGUGAAUUUACUCUAAAUGACGAGUGCUCAUAUCAGUACACCCAAACGUAGGUUUAGCAGUAUUUGUGUAAUGCCUUUUGUUUCUUAAAUGGUCCUUACAUUUUAACUCAACGUUUGUUUCUCCUUUUUGUUGCGAUCUUUUUGUGCGCUAUAUCUUUGGACGCUCUCCAUGCUCAAUUGCUCAUGUGCAAUUCUACUCAAGCCUCUAUGGGGCCUUUUAGUGUGUAUAAAGCCUUUUCAAGUCUGCCUGAUACUUGAGUCAUCUUCUCCAUAGUUAGACGUAGUAUACGGUUUCGCUGAACGAUCAAUAAUUAUUUGUAAUGUUGGUAUCGCUUUCAAAUCAGUACAAUUAUUUUUAAACAAAAGCAAGAUGCUUGAUAUAUUUACAUCCAUGGACGUGCUGUCUUACUGUGCUGUUAUAUUAAUCGAUUUUCGUUGUACGAGCCGAAAAACUUUUUUUUUUUGCGUUGCAACGCACGGGCUCCUAACUAGAGGGAGUAAAAGAAGAAAUCCUUGCAUGUUGAGUCAGUCAAUAUGGCGUAAGAAUAAGUUCAGCUGCCAUCCCUCAACUUUACACCGAGUUUGUUUGACAUCCUUUAUUCUCAAUACCAGAAAUAUUCACCUCUAAACUAUACAAAACUGUUCAAAUUAGGUCCCAUGGUAAUAUAGAUGCCUGGUUUUGCUGACGUGGCAUCCUAGUCGGCAAAAUAGAAAUAAGAUAAUAUGUGGGUCCCACAUGUAAGUGAAAUAGAAGAAAAAUGUGGGACCCACCUAUCAGCACCAUCAUCUUUCUUUUCUUCCCAAACAUGGGACAGCCGGCGGGAGGGGAGGGCGCUGGCGGGAGAGGCCGCACCAGCGGGAGAGAGGGGAGAGGCCGCCGGCUGUGCCGGCAGGAUAAGGGGGAAAGGAGGCAGGCCACGCCGACAGGAGAGGGGUGAGAGGCCGUCGGCCUUCUCCAGGCGGAGAUCCUCAGCCCAGACACGGACUCCAAGAGACCAGGACAAGCGCCACCGCCCGUUAUCGGCGGCGCUGCUGCUACAUCCGUAGCGCGCAGGCGGUAAGGGAACGAUGGAGAAGCCGAGCACGUGGGAGAUGACGGCGUAGGUGGCGUCAUCGGCCUUCCUAUCGACAACACUGUCUUUGGGACGCCGCAGCCUAAGGACGCGGUGGAACAACUCCGGUGAGGGCACGAAGAUGGUGAAGGCGAGGUCUCCCGGUGAAACCCCAAGCGCGUCGUCGUCGUCCUCUCCCAGCCUACUAUGUCCGCCACGUCGUCGUUGUCCUCACCGUCCGUGGCCGGCUCCAUCUGCCGUCGUCCUUUGCACCCCACCGCCGCCGCCACCCCACUCCGCCCGCCGUAGCACAGUGACACCCACACCACACCCUCUCUCAGAGGUGCCGCCGCUCGGAACCGCGGAGCCGUCGCUCACACGCCGUGCUGCGCCCGCCGCCCCCUGCCUGCUACGCCCUCUGCGCUCGCCUCUGGCCGCUGGAACUCCGCCUGCCGCCUCCUGCCUGCUCCACCCACCGCCACCGCCGCUUGCCUGCUCGCCUACCCACCAGCCUCUAAGGCUCGGGGAAGAAGAGAAGAGGAGAAGAGAGGAGAAGAAAGAGAAAAGAAGAAGAAAAAAGAAAAAGAAAAGAGAAAAAGAUAGGACACUGACAUGUGGGUCCCACCGUAUGCCACGUCAGCGGAACCGGGGAAAAAUGGGUCAAUACUGUCUUGAGAUCUUUUUUUGUACGGUUUGUGAUAGUUGAAGGAUAGAGAUUUCUGGUAUUGCGGAUUGGGGGCCCUAGGCAAACUGGACUUAAAGUUGAGGGAUGUCAGGUGAACUUAUUCCAUAUGGCGUAUAGGACCGAGGAUGCCCACUGGUCCAUCGAGGUGAAAACAUAGGCCUCUGUAGCCGGCUUGCAGCUGCAGCCCGCGCAACUGCAAUAAAACGGCAGCCGAACAGGCCCAUUAGCGAGUUUGUGGUUUUUCAUAUUUGUAUGAGCUCCUAAGUACGUGUUCCAGUCAGCAAAAAACACGAGUAGCUUAAAUACCUGGAAGUUCAGCGAAACAGGAUGGCGGAGAUUAAUUUAGUGAAAUAAUCUGAGUCUAUGAGUUCCAAUAGAAAGAUGUCUACAACUACAAUGCAAGUUUGUCUCGUGAUCAAAUAAUGAAAACUAACUUUGUCUCUAGCUUCUGUCUGACCACCGGUUUCUUUGAUAAGAUGGGCCAGUGCGCGCAUGGAUAUAUAGGCCCUUUUUCGUCAAAUAAAAAAUUUUAGGUGUCAUAUCGGAUGUUUGACCGGAUGUCGGAAGAAGUUUUCAGACACGAAUGAAAAACUAAUUUCAUAACUCGCCUGGGAACCGCAAGACGAAUUUGUUGAGCCUAAUUAAUCCGUCAUUAGCACAUAUAGGUUACUGUAGCACUUAUAGCUAAUCAUGGACUAAUUAGGUCCAAAAGAUUCGUCUCGCGAUUUCCUCCCUAACUGUGUAAUUAAUUUUCAUUUUAUCUAUAUUUAAUACUUCAUGCAUGUAUCCAAAAAUUUGAUGUGAUGUUUUUGGGAAAAAAAAUUUUGGUAAUCAAGCUACUCAGCGAAACACAACUAGCCAUCUUGGCAUUUGUUCGUAAAUGACAUUUCCCUAGAUAGUGUAGUAAUAUAAUCAAGAGUGAUUACAAGCGUCGAUAAUGAAUUUAAUUAGCCAACUUAAUUUGACUGUUAAUAGCCAACAGUAAACUUCUCUUGUUAGCCCAACAGAUCAAGAGUGGUUACAAGCGUAGAUACGGACUUAAUUUGACUGUUAACAGCCAACUUAAGUUGACUAUUAACAUUUAAAUUAAUUAAGUUGACUAUGUUACAUAGCCAACUUAAUUUGAAUGUUAGUAGUUGGCUAUUACCAGUCAAAUUUACAUAACCAACAGAUUAAGAGUGGUUACAAGCGUAGAUAUGGACUUUUCUCGUGAAAUAUCACACCAUCGUCUUACGCUAUAUAAGGCCACACAUUCUUUCCUAGGGAAAAUCACAAGCUAGCAUCGAAGCAUACCCGAGAUACUCGAUCGAUCAAGCAGUGAAACCGAAUUCGCCUAGCUGUAUAUUUGACCAAAUGGAAGGUAUAUUUAGAUUCAUUUCCCUCUCCUUUUCUCUUGAGGAUCUGAUCUACUUGUGGUAACUAAUUCCUCUCAAGAAUUGUUAUGAUAUAUACAAUAAAUUCUCAUGUCCUAUAACCGUGUUACAAUAGAUGAAUGUCAUUUUUUCUUGCAUGCAGUCGCACACACUCGCACGUACUACAGGUAGUUAUAUGGGCAAGAUUUUGAGAUGGAGGUAGCUAGUCGCUAUUUAGAGUAAACUAAAGAAUUGAAAAUAAUACAUUUUGGGGGAAAUUUCCUUUUUGCCACUUGUCGAAACCAUAUUGUACUUCCCAUCAUCGAAAUUUUACACUUAUCUAUUUUGCCACUAUUUCAUUAGUAUUCAUUUAUCUUUUGCCACUAUCAUUAUAUGCCACUAAGUAAUAUGAUAUUUUAGAUUUUUUAAUCUAAAAUUUAGAAGUUUUUGUCCCAAGGGUAUUUUGGUUAUUUGGACAAAAUUGUACAUUACUAACGGAGGUUAACCGGACGAUGAUGGUAUAUCGUAGAAGUUAAACAAAAGUCGAUGGCAUAUUUUAUAACGUGACAAAGUCAGUGAAAAAUCGUAGACAUAUGACAAACUUAGUGGCAUAUAAUGGAUUAUCUCUAGCAUGAAACCCAAUUUUACUUUUUUUCCCUAAAAAUAUAUUUCUCCAUAUUCUAUAUCGGUGAUAAUAAAUAUGGUAGCGCGUGAGACCUAAAAUUGCAUAGAUACUGAAGACAAUGGUUUAGAUAGAUUUAAGCCCUCUCGAAGACAUGACUUCGGUUUUCUAAUCUAUUACACGGGUCUCCAAUUGGAGCUCUAUACACUACCUUUAGGCUAUGUUCGGCAUCUCUGGUUCCCAACCGGAACAGUAUGCACGGAAAACGGAGCGGUCCAUUAGCGCGUGAUUAAUUAAGCAUUAGCUAUUUUUUUCAAAAAGGAUUAAUUUGAUUUUUUAAGCAACUUUCAUAUAGAAACUUUUUGCAAAAAACACACUGUUUAGCAGUUUGAAAAACGUACACGCCGAAAACGAGAGGGGAGAGUUGGAAAAACAGAGUGCCGAACACAACCUUAGGAUAGAAGGCAACAUGACGACCGGUCCUACUCUAUCACUGGCCUAUUAUAUCAUAUAGCUCACCACCUAUCUGUAAUCGGAUGUGUAGACCGUGUGUACACUUAGUAACCAUACUCUCCACAAUAUUACUACUCCCCUUUUCAUAUUAUAAUUCAUUUUGAUUUUUUUCUAGUCAAACUUUUUUUAAUUUGACUAAGUUUAUUAAAGAAACACAGUAGCAUUUUCAACGCAAAACAUAUAUAUUAUCAAAAUAAUAUAUUCAAUGUUAGAUUUAAUGAAACUAAUUUGGUAUUUUAGAUGUUACUAAAUUUUUCUAUAAAGUUGAUCAAACUUGAUUAAGUUUGAUGAGGAAAAAUCAAAGCGACUUAUAAUAUAAACCAGAGGAAGUAUCUUUUAAGUUGCUAUAAUUUACUUUUCUUGACAAUAUUAGGGUACAUGUUAAAAUUUCAAGUGCUACUUUAUUUUGAACUUUUACAAGGGAACAGUGGUUGUUUAAUUAGGGACAAACUUAACGGUCAACUGACAUUGAUUACAAAUUUGUUUUUAAUAACUACAUUUAUUAGUGAUGGCAAACGAAAGAUAUGCACUAACGAAAGAGUGGUGAAAAUGAUAAGUUGCAAGAGUAAAUUUCAUAAAACCCCACCUACUAUAGUCUAAGUUUUACAAAAUUAUAGGAAUUUUAGCACAUGACACGUAACCUCGGGUAUUAUGAUUCUAAAGUUUCACAAAACCACACCGUUAACCAAUUUAACAUCUAUUUUCAAAUUUUAAAAAACAUUACUUACAUAGAUGUAACAUUUAUAUGAUUGAUAAAUAGCUAAGAAAUUGAUUGUAGAACUAAAAAAUUUGAUAGAUCAAAAUUAAGAUGAUUGUGGGUUUAUGAAACUAUAUGGCUAUAAUACAUGGAGUUAUAUGUCAUGUGCAACUUAGACUACAAUACACGUUGUUAGGUCAAAUUUACUCUUAAGUGCAAUUUUUUCAUGGUUGAAUAGAGAAUACAUGUGUAAGGUGGCAAAAAUAAAAAGAAUCCUACAUUCUUUUUUGCGUUCCUAUGAGCUUUCAUUCGAACGAAAAUCUAAAAACGCACAUAGCACCACACCCACCUAUUCGGUUGUGCAAGCUCCACCUCGUAUUAAGUGGCGGACCCAGUAUGGUCGAAGGCCCGUCCCAACCCAUCGCAUAUUAAACCGUGCUUAAGUUUUCGUAAAAUCUAAAUCUAGAGCAUCUCGUUUUAAUUGUAACUAGUGACGAAGCAUCACAUGACUAGAAAAAUCUACUUAACUAUAGUACUAGUCCAUCAAACAAGUAUAGAAAAUAUAUUCCUAUCACCUAUGUUUUAAAUAAAAUUUUCUCUUAAAUUACUCAUCCGAUCUACGAUUCAAUUACACCGUUAUGUCCGUAACAACUAAAUCUUUAUAAUAAGAUCUCAUAUGAUUAUAUAUUUUUAUGAAAAAUUACAAAUUACUUUUAGAUUUUAUUAAAUUACUUCUUGAACAUAUAAAAGUAAAUUCAAUAAAGGCUAAACGUAAUUUAAAUAUAUUAUAGAAGUAACUAAAAAAAUAAAGUAACUUGUCACGAUAUUAAAAGUAAAUCUUGGUGGGGGGUAACUACAUAUGUCUAUCUAAAAAUUAAAUUUAAUUGACAUAUUAUAGAAUUAACCAAUAAAUUAAACUGUUCACUAAAUUUAUAAAAAGUAAUUUAAUCAAAUAUAACAGUAAUUUAUAUAUAUAUAUAUAUAUAUAUAUAUAUAUAUAUAUAUAUAUAUAUAUGUGAUAAAAAUAACUUACAUCUAUUAUAAAAGUAAUUUACAACAUAUAUGUUUAUUUUCAUUAGAAUAUAAUGAUGCAAAGAUUUAGUUACAACGAAUACAAUAGUAUAAUUGGAUUGUAAAUCAGAUAUGUAAUUUGAAAGAGAAGUUUAUUUGAAGUUUAGCUAUUAGGACUCUUAUUGUUGAAUGCUUGUAUACUCCCUACGUGAGAAAAAGAUAAAUUCUAAUUAGACAUAUCUAUUUUCAGAAAGCACACUCGAUUGAAAAGGGUACUAGUUAUGAAAAGGAUUAGGUAGCUGGUUUAGACUAUCACGCUGUGUAGCUGUGUAGUGACGUCCGUAAGUUUUACAUGGUAAAAAGACGGCUCACAUCGUGGGCUUUCACGGCCCAGGUAGCCCGAGGCUUUGGUUCCCCAAUGUCGUUAUUAUUGUCUUUCGCAUGAUCGUAUCCGCACGUAUGUACACGUUUGUAGAAUUUUUUUUAUUUAUAAUUUUUCUUAUUAAAAGUUUUACAAAAAUAAUUUUCCAUUUUGAAAAUUGACGGAAAUAGUCGCCUACCGCCCUCUGGGAGGGCGAUUUUUAAAAAUCGCCCUCCCAGAGGGCGGCGAAAAUGACGUGGCAGACGGCCGUUCGCUCUCGGGCGACGGCCGUCAACGAAAUUUGCAGGCGGCCCCCUUGCCGCCCUCCGCGAGGGCGAUUUUGUACUGUGCGGGGGGCCGCCUGCAAAUGGGCGGCGAGGGGGGGCAUGGAAAUUUGCAGGCGGCCCCCUUGCCGCCCUCCGCGAGGGCGAUUUUGCACUGUGCGGGGGGCCGCCUGCAAAUGGGCGGCGAGGGGGCAUGGAAUUUUGCAGGCGGCCCCCUUGCCGCCCUGGGGGAGGGCGAUUUUUGCCUCCCCCCUAUAAAGCCCAGCCCCUCCCCUAUGAAAUUUCAUUAUAUUCACUAAAAAUCCAAAAAAAACGAAAGAGAGAGAGGGGAGGGCAGCAGAAGGGGAGCGGCGAAGCCCUGCUGGUUCGCUCACUUCAUCACAGGUAUGCUCCCAUACAUCUUUUGCAUUUGUACUAAUAUAUUACGUUUGAGUACAUAUGUUGCGUUUUAGUUUUAGUUCCAUAUAUUUUAGCAGAUCUGUAGCACACAGCACAUAUGUGUAGAUCCAGAGCAUAGAAUAUAAUAGUAUGAAUUGAGACAUAGACAGUAGUGUUAAUUGUAAGAUGUAGUUUAGUUUGAUCUGGAGAAUGUAACCUACUUUUAGAAAUUUAGAGAACAAUAUUGUAGAGAAUGUAACUUAGGGCGUAGUACAGAAAUGCGAGGUUAACGCAGUUAUUGUUUUCAUCAGGCACAAUGUCAAGUAAGGUCACAUUUCAGAUAGUUCACGGUGAAGGAAAUAUUAGAUUUGGUCCAGAUGGUGUUGAUCUGUCAGAUUUUGUAAUGACAUCUAAGGGCAUCGAUAGGCCUGCGGAGAGAACAUUUCAGUCAAUUUAUAGUUGGUUGUUGAGAGGAUUUAGAAUAGACCAAGAAGUAUACACAAUGUCAGUAUCUGUUGUAGUGAGUCGUGCAAUAGAAGGUUAUUUUUGGGAACUAAUGCCGAUGGACAGCACUGCUGCUUGGAGACGGUAUGUGGAAAUGGCUUUUGAACGGUCAUGGCCCCUCGUUAUAUUUGUGUCGGUACAAGAGAAAGAUACAAAUGUUUCAAUGCAAACCGAAGAUGUGGAGGGUCCUAGCAAUGCAGGGGAUGUUGUUGGACCAUCGAUGCAAAAUGAGGAAAAUCAACCAAGGGAGGAGCAGGCCAUGGGCAUGGCGGAUGAGGGGGAGAGAGUCGGUAUAAUUGUUGAUGAAAUGGAGAGGGAAGAUUCGGAUAAUGAGCAAGCGGAGGACGACGCAUCAUCCGAUGAGGAAGGUGAUGUAAUGGCCACUGAUUGGGCAAAUGAGGACUUCUCUGGUCUUGUUAUAUCAGAGGGUGAUCAUGUACCCUGGGAGUAUAAGGAGUACGAGGUAAUUGAGGGUGCAAGGUAUGCUCAUAAGGAUGAGAUGAAGGAGGCGGUGAAGCAUUGGGCAGUUUCAUUGCAGAGAGAGUUUAGGGUGGUCAAGUCAACAAAUUAUGUGUAUGAAGUGAGGUGCAUGAAGGAAGAUUGUCCGUGGCGUGUCCAUGCAUAUAAGGCUAAAUGGAAUGAUUAUUGGAAAGUUAGCAUUGUGACCGAGCACAAGUGCUACUUACAAGGGGUGGAGAAGUAUCACCGAAACAUCACUUCAGCUUUUGUGGCAAGUGAGAUGUACAGCAGUGUUGUUGGUAACAUUGGCUUUGAACCAAAAUCAAUUAUUAGGCACAUCGAGAACAAAUUCAAGUACACCAUAAGCUAUGCAAAGGCCUGGAGAGCCAAACAAAAGAUCAUUGAGAUGAGGUAUGGCACAUUUGAAGCUUCUUAUGAUAAUUUGCCUCGUUUGUUAGCCACCAUUGCCCAGAGGAAUAAUAAUACUUACUAUGACCUACAUACAUUUACAUCGGUUGAAGAUAGAACAAAGAGUGUGCUGCAAAGAGCCUUUUUCUCAUUGGGUGCUUGCAUCAAUGCUUUUGUGCAUUGUCGACCUGUUCUAUGCAUAGAUGGAACUUUUAUGACAGGUAAAUACCGAGGUCAGAUAUUGACAGCAAUUGGGUGUGAUGGGAACAACCAGGUUCUACCUAUGGCUUUUGCAUUUGUAGAGAGUGAGAACACUGAAAGCUGGUACUGGUUCCUAGAGAGAGUGCACAUUGCAGUGGUGCGUAUGAGGCCCAACGUUUGCCUUAUACAUGAUCGUCAUGCGGGUAUGUUGCGGGCUAUUGACUACUUGCAGAACGGUUGGGAUGAGAAGGGACUUCCAGCUAAGUGGCCUGAUGUUCGGAGUCGGUGGUGCAUGCGUCACAUGGGUGCAAAUUUCUACAAGCAAUUCAAGAACAAGCAUCUUAUGGAGCUCUUUAAGAGGCUCUGUGCACAGAACCAAGAGAAGAAAUUUAAUGAGUUGUGGGACAAGUUGGAUGAGUUGACAACGAAGCAAACAGAUGAGCAAUCUCGCAGACCACAAGUUGAAGGUGACGAGCCUCCCAUACCUCUUGGUGCAUUACAUGAUGACCCACCAACAAUGAGAAGGAGGUCAGGGUCGGCCAUCAGAAAUUUCUCUCAGUGGAUUGAGAAUGAGCCUAAGGAGAAGUGGGCUCUAUUGUUCGACACCGAUGGAUCUCGGUAUGGCAUAAUGACAACCAAUUUGGCAGAGGUGUACAACUGGGUAAUGCGAGGAGUUCGGGCACUUCCAUUGGUUGCUAUUGUUGAAUUCAUCCUUCACGGCACGCAAGCCUACUUUAGGGAUCGAUACAAGAAAAUUGGUCCGUCCAUGGCCGAUAACAACAUAGUGUUUGGCAACGUAGUGACAAAGUACAUGGAAGAUAAAAUCAAAAAGGCACGGAGACAUAGAGUUGUUGCUCAAGGCACACAAGUGCAUCGGUAUGAAAUAAUGUGUGUUGAUAGGAGCAGGCGUGGUAUCUAUCGCAAGCAAGCCGUGCAGGAAUGUGUCUUGAAGGCGGAUGGUGGAUGUACCUGCAGUUGUAUGAAGCCGAAGCUUCAUCACCUUCCUUGCUCACACGUUCUUGCUGCUGCCGGUGAUUGUGGCAUAUCUCCCAAUGUGUACGUCUCAAAUUAUUUCAGGAAAGAAGCAAUCUUUCAUACAUGGAGUGAGGAGAUAUAUGGGUUCGGGAUCUCAGGAUCUUACACAACGCUGAGUGCCCAAGUUUUUUAUAUUCCAGAUCCAUCUAAGUUUAGGGUGAAAAAGGGUCGACGCCAAACUAGACGCAUCAGAAAUGAUAUGGAUGAGUCAGAAGCAGGUGGGAGGACUUUACGCUGCAGCAAGUGUGAUCUGCGCGGCCAUACUUACAAGACAUGCCCGAAGAAUGCAGAAGUUCCAAGCGGCGCAGAUGCUAGUCCAUCUGGACAGGCAAGUGAUGGUAGGCGACCACCUGGUGAAGGAACAACAAGCAGGCGCGCAAGGCCAAGGCGUCGUCGCGCAGCAGGCGAUUCCAUGGUGUAACAAUGCUUUCGAUUUAGGAAAUAAAAUGAUGUAAUGAGUGUUCGGACUAAAUACUUCUAUCGUGUAAUUUCAAUUCAAUCUUGUUGUAAUGAGUACCUCCGACUAUUGUUGUACUAGUAGUAUUGCGAACUAUUCGGUGUUGUAUCAUAAUGUUAUCGUGAUGAGUGUUCGGACUAAACACUUUUGUUUGUUUGUACUCUUGUUUAAUAUGUGUUAGUAAUUCGCUUAUGAACAUUUAUUACUUAUGUUGAACUAAUUAUUUAUAUGUUUCUGAUCAACCUAUUUGAUGCAGGUAUGGCGUACGACACACCGGCGCUGUUGAACCGUGGGAUUGACAGGAACCACCGCUCGUUCCUGUCAGCAGUCGAGGGUGCACAGCUCAGCACCUUCCGUCCACGCACGUCGCGCGAGUGGUUGCGUGUCGACCCCCGUCACGUUCCUUGGUACGCGUAUGUUCACAUUUCAACUCAACUUUGCUUUGUUUUAUACUUAUGUUUGAAGUUUGCUCUAUACAGGUUGCGUGCGGCAGGCCUUCUACCACUUUGUAGGCUUGUUGAGGCGGCGGCGGACGACCGUGACCCAGCGAAGCGGUGGGAUGCAGACCGGUCACUCCUUGCCGCUCUUGUAGACCGCUGGAGACCUGAGACGCACACGUUCCACCUUCCCUGUGGGGAGAUGGCUCCGACACUGCAGAACGUGUCGUACCUGCUCGGGCUACCGCUGGCGGGAGCACCAGUUGGUCCCGUCGACGGUGUUUUUGGGUGGAAGGAGGAUAUCACUGCGCGCUUCGAGCAGGUGAUGCGCCUUCCACACCUAGGACCGACCACCACCCUUCCUCCGUACUCUACAGUCGGGCCUAGCAAGGCUUGGUUGCUCCAGUUCACUGUAAGUAAAUAAGUUGUUAUUAUCAUACGUGCUUAUUUGCGACCGGAUCAGUGUUUUGUACUAACAUUUCAUUCUUAACUGUAGGCGGACCUUCUGCACCCUGACGCUGAUGAUUACUCGGUCCGACGCUCCCUUGAGGCGUACCUGUUGUGGUUGUUCGGGUGGGUGAUGUUCACUAGCACCCACGGGCACGCUGUGGACUUCCGGCUGGUCCACUACGCACGGUCCAUCGCGGAUGCUCAGCCACAGGACGUGCCGCAGUGGAGCUGGGGUUCUGCCGUGCUAGCAGCCACGUACCGUGCCCUCUGUGAGGCGUGCACGAAGACUGACGCGGGAGCGAUCAUCGCUGGCUGUCCUAUGUUGCUUCAGCUUUGGGCAGCCGAGAGGUUUGCCAUAGGGCGACCAGUGGUGGACAGCGCACCCUACGGGGUUGGUCGCAGCGCGCAGUGGCCAGAGGACGGUCCCACGAUGGGGACUUACUGGUGUCGACGUGGGGUUAGUGCAACUUCGCUACGUUAUAAGUUUAUCAGUCCUCUUCUUUUUUUUUCCUUCACAUAACAUGUCUAAUUCCGAUCAUGUUUAUUGCAGCGUCGUUACGCUCACGUCCAGGUGAGACGUGGUUACCCGGACUUCGUGUUCGAGUUUGACCGUCUCCAGCCGAGCGACGUCAUCUGGGAGCCGUACACAGAAGAGGCCGUCGCUGCGAGAGCACCGCUAGGACUUUCGUCCUUGUGCACACGCGACCAGGCUUACUGGCUCACCAUCCUGCCGAUGGUGUUCGACAUUUUCGUUGAGCCUCACUGGCCGCAGCGUGUGAUGAGACAGUUCGGACUUAGGCAGGUGUUUCCCGGCAACGUGCAGCCGACCGUCCCCCCUGCCGACCACUCGUGAGUUCGGAUUGUUCAUUUCUAAAUUUUUAUGAUAAUUACAUCAUCGAGCCAUACAAUUUACCUCUCUUCACAGGUUGACUCGACGGGGACAGCUAGCAGGCGCACUUUGGGCUCCACGUGUACAGCAGUACGUUGACGACUGGGUGUUAGCUACAGAGGAGGUGAUCAACGAGCUCUUCCCACACACGGAGGAGAACUACCGUGACUACCUUCGCUGGUACCUUCCUCGCACUCGUGCGCAUGUGACCUUCACUCCAGACGCCCCAGAGCCGCACGUUGCCGCUGUCACGGACGCGUAUCCCACGCACCGUGACCGAGACUACUUCGUGGCGGUACGUCCAAUUUGUAUUACUUCCAACAAUUAUGUCAUUUAUCUUGCAUAAUAUAGGACAACUACUGAAUUUUUUAUUUCCAUCUUGCAUAGGCUGAUGCGGCACGGGAUAUCAGUGCCGAUAUCACCGCAGUCCAGGUGAGGUUGAACAGAGGUUUGCACUUGACUGACGUUGAGCAGAGGUCGACCUUCGACCGGAUGCAGGAGAAGAUGCGUGCGGUCAUGCGCGUCUUCUCCUGUCGCAGCGCCGUGGACGUCGUACCUCCAGCUGGUCCGGUACACCCACGGCCUCGCGGUCCUACCGUCGGAGCAGGACCUCGUUUGUCUUCGAGCGCCCCUAGCUUCGGAGCAGUGCGACCUACAGCACCGGUUUCGCACGGUACAGUUCAGCCCAGAUAUUAGUUCAUUUUUGUUUCAGCUUUUGCACGAAUGUGUCACCAUGUUUUAACUGCACGUUUCCUCAUCGCAGGACCUCGUAUGCCUUCGAGCGCGUUCGCAGGCACGACCGGCGCUUCCGCGAGCUCCGCAGGGGCGUUCGCCACCUCUUCAGGCGCGUUCGCCAGCUCUUCCUCUCACGGAGCGUCGAUCCCUCGCCCACACGGUACUUUACUUUUUAUUAAUACUGUUAAAUACCUAUACGAAACUGAUGGUCCUUGUCCAGCAGGAUUUGCAGCCGGGAUCUUCGGUACUGGGGCCUCUUCGUCUCACGCCGGUAGGACUGGUCCUACUAGCCAGUUCUACGACGACGACUUGCACGGUGCAGACCACCAGGACGUACUAGGCUCCUCUCAGCUUGGAGGAGCUCCAGAGGCGCACACUCAGGAGCAGCCAGAGGUCACACCUGUACAGGCAGGACGGGUUGGCCGUGCCGUACCCCCGGACCGACUCACGUACUCCCAGGGGCACAUUAGGGCGCAGGGUAGGAGGGACAGGGGUAAGAGGCCUCGUCAGUAGUGUUCUACCUCUUCAGUCCUUAUGUGACCGUUUCUUUUGGCUUACAAACUUGUAAAGCAGUACUACUUUUGCUAUUACUACUGCAGUACUACUUGUGUUUGUCUCGUCUACGUAGUUCUUUUCAUUCGUAUGGUGCUUGAACAACUUAUGCUCACAACAACACACUUUCGGCGCUUCACGGUAGUGCCAUAUCCAGUAGCGCGCACAGUCCACAACAGCACACAUGAAAAGCGGCAGCUCGAGUUAUCACUAUCAACUUUCGGCGCUGCCUGUUGACAUAAAGUGAAUCACGCCCACGCGUGAUCGUCUUGUCACAUCUAAUGAAUAAUGUAUCUCAUUGAGUUCACAUAUAUUGCAGUGAAAACGACGCUAUAUAAUUGACAAUCUGAAGGCAACCUCUUCAUAUCUUCUUUCCCACUACCACACCACACACGAAAAUGGAAGCCUAUUAAUUGGUAAUACGUAAUCUAGAAUUGAGAUUAUGUACAACAUUCUUCACUACAAUUUUACAUUUUGGCAGCAAACCAAAUAUGAUCAAUUGCAAUUUUACCUUACCAAAUAUUUGGUAGUGCCAAAACUUGCUUAUAUUUUGGCAUUAACAAAAUAUUUGUACGGUAACAUUCCAAAUAUGCCCUAAAAAAUAAUAAAAUUGUAUUUUACCAAUCUUGGAGAUUUUAAUCUUGUAUAGUUUUCAAUAUAAAAAGAUUUGAUAACUAUUGAUAUUUAUAUAAAAAAAAUAUAGAGCACAGUACAAAAUCGCCCUCCCCCAGGGCGGCAAGGGGGCCGCCUGCAAAAUUCCAUGCCCCCUCGCCGCCCAUUUGCAGGCGGGCCCCCGCACAGUGCAAAAUCGCCCUCGCGGAGGGCGGCAAGGGGGCCGCCUGCAAAUUUCCAUGCCCCCCCUCGCCGCCCAUUUGCAGGCGGCCCCCCGCACAGUACAAAAUCGCCCUCGCGGAGGGCGGCAAGGGGGCCGCCUGCAAAUUUCGUUGACGGCCGUCGCCCGAGAGCGAACGGCCGUCUGCCACGUCAUUUUCGCCGCCCUCUGGGCGGGCGAUUUUUAAAAAUCGCCCUCCCAGAGGGCGGUAGGCGACUAUUUCCGUCAAUUUUCAAAAUGGAAAAUUAUUUUUGUAAAACUUUUAAUAAAAAAAAUUAUAAAUAAAAAAAAUUCCACGUUUGUAGUACUCCAGCUAACUGUUGCGGUGCACGUGCAGCCGUGCAAAUGAUCGGUGUGUGCUAUGGCAUGGUGGGUAAUAACCUCCCGUCGCGGAGCGAGGUGGUGCAUAUGUACAUAUCCAAGGGCAUCAAACGGAUGCGCAUCUACUACCCCGACAAGGAGGCUCUCAACGCCCUGCGCAACUCCGGCAUCGCCCUCAUCCUCGACGUCGGCGACCAGUUGUCCAACCUCGCCGCCAGCUCCUCCAACGCGGCCGCGUGGGUCCGUGACAACAUCAGCCCCUACUAUCCGGCCGUCAACAUCAAGUACAUCGCCGUCGGCAACGAGGUGGUAGGCGGCACCACGGAGAGCAUCCUCCCGGCCAUGCGCAACGUCAACUCCGCCCUUGCCGCGGCCGGCAUCGGCGGCAUCAAGGUUUCCACCGCGGUGAAAUCCGACGUGAUCGCCAACUAUUACCCUCCCUCCGCCGGCGUGUUCGCGUAUACCUACAUGAAUGGCAUAGCUCAGUACCUGGCGAGCACCGGCGCGCCGCUGCUGGCCAACGUCUACCCCUACUUCGCCUACAAGGAUAAACCGUGCAUCAACCUCAACUACGCCACGUUCCGGGUGAGCCCCACAGAGAGGGACCAAAAUAACGGACUCACCUACACCAACCUGUUCGACGCC
rnacentral:lncRNA from 1 species